GCUCACAUGAUCAUUCACUCUGGGUGCAUUUUUUCCUGAACAACUUUCUUCAAAGGCAAAGGGACAAACAGGGAAGCUAAGAGAGUAUCUUUUUAGUUACUA